GUUCGGGCUAGCUAGCCAAUGGGAUAGAUCCAUGAUUUGAUUCGUCCCCGCACGUGCGGCUCGGUGACGGUGACUUGUCACUCGAUUGCAUUGGUCAUCAACCGUCUUUUUUACAUGACCACGGAAUCAAAAACAUAAACAACAGCAAAUGAGUGGCGUGUUAUUAUCGAAAACACAGGACAAGAGUGUGGAAGUUGGGAAGACUUCAUGGAUGAGUAUUGAAGACCAGCAACGAUGUCCAAAAUUAAUCACCCAGUGCCCUAAUCUAGAAGAUGACGGAUGGAUGAAGGUAAAGUGGGACACUGGCAGAAAAAAGUCAGACGGUCCAGCCUUUUUCCCAGCCAAGGUUUUGAUGUUUGGUGCCAGCUACAGUGAUCUGUGUAAGAAGAGGCAGGGAUUCAUAAAGGGUGAAGACAUCUGGCAAGAAUCACCCAAGAGGAAGAGUAAGCCGAACAACAAGUGGAAAGCUGUGGAAGAGGAGGAUCAAGAAGUUCCACCAAAAAAGAAGAAAAAAAGAGAAACAUGUUCAGCAGAAAAAGAGUCUGCAAACCUCAUGAUCGAAGAGCUGAAGAAGCAGCUUGCAGACAAAGCAUCUUCAGAGUCAUCAGAUGAGGAGGAGAUGCCCAGAAACUGGAGUGUGGCGGUGCAGAAAAUGAAACGGCUUCAGAGAGAAAUCAAGAGCCUGAAAGAAGGCCAUGUGGAAGAAAUACUAGAUGCGAUGAGUGGCAUUUUCUGCACACUACCUUUUAAAGACUUUGGUGGUGUGCCUAUACUGAUUCCUGAAGUCAGACAAACUGACAACAAUCAAAGCUGGUUUUAUCUAAAUAGAAACAGAUAGAUAUAAUUACUGAAAAAUCUUCCCAAAUAAAAAGAAAUGACCAUUUAACUGAUAAUUCAAUAAAUAUACUGUGCAGCCUUGAACCAACGUAAUUUAAAACGGAUACUCCAAUAUUGAAGCACUGACAUCUGAAUAAUGAAAACAAAGAGACUCACAAAUCACACAGACAAACAACGGCUGCCAGGGAGAGCUGGGAUCUGCUGCCAAGUGUGGAAAAAGGCCCAUACCUGGCGACAAUCUUCUUUUUAUAGGUUAUGGCUGAUUCAGCUCCUCAUACCUCCUGCUCCUCCUUAAUCAGCUCUACCUCCAGCCAUGCUCUUCAUAACACAAAUGACUAUGCAAUGUUUUAAAAUUGUCUCAAAACACAGUAAUGACACAAAAACUUUUGUUCCCUUGUUCCCCCUCUUGUUUUCAUUCCCUUUAAAGAGCUCCCAGCAGUGGUGACACAGCUAAAAUAAGUUAUUGAAAAAAUCACAGUACAGAGCUCAACUCCUGCAUCCACCUGAUCAACAUCCACAUCUGGAGACCCACCAUUUUCUCCACCCGGCUCUCCUCAAGUGUCUGACCCUAAUGAAAUGGUGCUUCUUGUGCCAGGCCAUGACGUCAAAGUACCAAGACGAAAGCUGAAGUCUCUGCGGACUACAAAUUCAGCAUUGUACAUUGGGGAUCUUGCGGUGCUCAUCUAUGGUAGAGAAACGCUGUCCAAUUCAAGUUUGACCGGGAGGCAGUCAGGGGCUCACAAAGAAGUGGAAUCAAAGCCACAACUGGAUAACACAAAGCUCGAUGCUAUACUUGUCCAUGUCCAGGCGAAGUUCCCUGACACCACCAUUCAAGAUGUGAGACGCAUCAUAAGAAAGAAAUGCAACAAUAUAAACUAUGCCAAGCAAGUGACUGAAAAGAAGUCAUAAAAACGUUUUUGGUUUUUAUCAAGCUAUUUUGUUUGUUCCAAAGAUGUGUACCUUUCUUACACCUUUUUUUUACAAAGAAAGACUUUAGUUCUCAGUUGGAGACACUAUUUUGUUUACAUUUUUACAAGGAAAUGUUCACUUUUUCCUUUACCAUUUUUGAUAAAGAAGGACUUGAUCUUGGAGAGACUAUCUGAUCACCUGAUCUCCCCAAGUGAAAAAAAUAUUAUACUUCAACGACACUUUUGAAAGGAUGUACUAAGUCCAC
ensembl:lncRNA